UACGUAGGGUGCAAGCGUUGUCCGGAAUUAUUGGGCGUAAAGAGCUCGUAGGCGGUUUGUUGCGUCGGCUGUGAAAUCCCGAGGCUCAACCUCGGGUCUGCAGUCGAUACGAGCAAACUAGAGUGUUGCAGGGGAGACUGGAAUUCCUGGUGUAGCGGUGAAAUGCGCAGAUAUCAGGAGGAACACCGGUGGCGAAGGCGGGUCUCUGGGCAGUAACUGACGCUGAGAAGCGAAAGCGUGGGGAGCGAACAGG
rnacentral:rRNA from 1 species